rnacentral:lncRNA from 1 species
UGUGUACCACACAGAUAUAAUAUUAAUAAGCUUUUAAAGGUUUAAUGGAUAGUUAAAUUGUGUAUAAAAAGCAAGGUUGUCUAGGGGUAUACACAUCAACAAUGAAAGCAUAGCCUUCAUAUAGGGCUUGCAAUACUGACAGUCUGUGUCAUGAGCAUAAUGCAGACAUGCGGUUAGGUACUUUUCCAUUGUUAUAAUAUAUUGAAAACACUAAGACUUUGCAAAAAAAUUUAAAACACAUAUUGCUUCCUGUACCUGGGGCCGUGCAAGGAUGUAGUUGGGAUAUAUUUCAAAUUGAGUAUCAAAAGUCUAACCACAAAACUAUAUGUUAUACACUUCUUAAGAAAACAAGUUUAACCCGUUAGUGCGUACUUUGGAUAGCCUCUUUGCAUAAUUUGGCUCCUAGUGAGAUUAUUAUAUUAUUUAUUUAUCCUCUUCUGGAUCUGCAAAAUGCUUUCACUUUACCCAUACAAAUAUAAUACAGUAAUUUAGGAGAUUAAGAUUAACUCACUUAUACAUUUCCAAAAUUGUCUAAUCUCCAAUAAAAAUACCAUUUUAUUAUUACCCCAUAAUCAAUAAGGCAUUCUAGAUUAAUCUUACUUUGACACAAACAAUGCAAUAUACUUUAAAAGUAGAGUUAACUCUGAGCUGGACAAUACUCCCCUAUUAGAACUCCUUUAUGAGGGAGAGACAUCUUGUCCAUUCAAUCCUUUUUAUCAGUAAAAGAAUGACUUUCAGGAUUAAUCAAUUUGCAAAUGGAAAUGUGGAGCCACGAUUUGAACAGCAGAAGUUUGCGGGGCCCCUUUCACGUGGGAUGUAACAAGCACUUUUCUUGCUCCAGGAGCGAUAGCAUACAAUUGUUUCAUUCUAGCCGGCUGGACAGCAUUUCACCUUUUGUAAAAACACUAAAUGCUUGCGUUAAUGAUAUGCAAAUCACUCUGCUAGUUAAACUCCUACACAAUGGACAAUAAAAUACAUGAAACACAUGACACACCAAUUCAUUUCAAACCAUAUAACUCAUACUCAGCAUCCAAUGUAAUAUUACAUGUCAUCUCACAAAACAGACGUAGUAGAAACACAUAAUGGAUACCCAGCAGAUAUGCCAAUACAGAAAACACAUUCAUGAGCACACAACUACACACUCUGUGUCCCUCCUAGGAAACACGGGUAGACACAAUAUGAAAGCAGUCUUAAACUAACACCUCCAAAUCUCCAUUCCCAUAUAGCUAUAUCAGACCACAACAUAGAGCCUCUCUGAGCUCAUAGAACUACUCCAACUCCAACUACUCUUGGCCAAACCGCUAGUAUUCAACAGCUAAUAAAACAGUUAUUUGCUAGGUUAUUUGGCUGGCAUUUGUAUCAGUAUCACUAGACUGAAACAAACUGAUUCAAAUAUAAUUUAAAACAACACAGCAACAUAUAAAUUAAACCACUUUCCAGUUAAGCUGCACACUUCACACAUUAUCACAAUCACCAUUUACACAGAAUAAACAGUUAACAGCUGUACUCAGAACAUAUUAUUGUAAGGUAUACCAAUUUUAGUUUGUAUUAGAUUUAUUUUAGGAAUUCUUA